UACGGAGGGUGCGAGCGUUGUCCGGAAUCACUGGGCGUAAAGGGCGCGUAGGCGGCCUGAUAAGUAGGGGGUGAAAUCCUGCGGCUUAACCGCAGGGCUGCCUUCUAAACUGUCAGGCUUGAGCACAGUAGAGGCAGGUGGAAUUCCCGGUGUAGCGGUGGAAUGCGUAGAGAUCCCAAGAACACCAGUUGCGAAGGCGGCUGACUGGACACAUAUUGACGCUGAGGCUCGGAAAGCAUGGGGAGCAAACAGG
rnacentral:rRNA from 1 species